UUUAGGGGGUUGGUGGGUGAACAGUUUAUGCAAAUGCAGGUUGUGUAAGAUUGAGACACUUAAGAAAUGCUCAAACUUACAUUUUUAGUCGUGAAAACUUCACUUCGUCUUUUUUAAAAUAUGCCAAUUAAUCCGUUUUUUGUUUGUUUUUUUGCUGAUAUCUGCUCUUUCUCUGUGCACCAGAAUCUCUUUUAGAUUAGGCUUACAGGUCUUAUGUGUGUCUAAACACAACACUUUGGUUUGUCAGUAUUGUGUGUAUCAUUAACACCGCUCUGUGCGUUCGCCUUCCUUUUAUUUGAAGAAGCAGUAUUGUGUGCUUUCCAGCCGCACUGUAUCAUUUUAUGGCAUAAUCAAGUAAUCGUGUCGUCUUCAAUUAUCAAAAUGCUUCGCAAUUUAACGCCUUGAAAUCGGGCCUCUGUCUCUUUAAGAAUCGCCUGCGCUUUCCGACACAGGAUGUCAUCACAUCUACCUUCCUCUGUUAAGCCUUUACAAAUAUUCGUUGGGGCAUUGGACUGAGAAGCAGCUCCUACUGAGGAGCUCAGCAGAUGCUUGCUAAUUGCUGUUGGCUAGUCUGAAGGAGCUGGGUGGGAUAUUUGUGGUGGAGGGCUGCUCUGUGAGGUGGAAGUCUGGAGGAGCUUCGUCUGCGCAGGCGGCACUCAGUCCAACCAGGCGUUUUGCACCGCUGAACGGUUGCCAUGGAGAUUAAAGGAUUUCUCAAACAUGCAUGAAAGAAACACUCCAGGUCCUCGUCAGGUAAUCAAACACCGCCUGGAUUAGCUGUGCGCCCGGUUUCCAAGCAACGCUCGCACAAAGAGAAGAGUCCAGGCGUCGGGCCUCGACCAUCUGCCUGGGCUUUACCGAGUCCCCUGACUGUUGCUUUGUAGGCUUUCUGGAAGUCGGUGCCCGUCUUCAGCUAGUGAGGCGGGUAAGCCGAGUUAGUGAUGAAAUCAUAGGGACAUAUUUUAUUAUAUCAAACCACCUGGGUAAAGUACAACGCCUUAAAGACUUUUUUCUUCUUCACCAAGUCGAUGUGCCUUCAAGGCAGCUUCUGUCUUAGCAAUGAGUCUGUCAGAAGCUGUUUUUGCUCUUUCAUAUUUUUUGAAAGAGCAUAUUUUGUCCUUCCCCGAAG